GAGUUUGAUCGUGGCUCAGAUUGAACGCUGGCGGCAUGCCUUACACAUGCAAGUCGAACGGUAACAGGUCUUCGGAUGCUGACGAGUGGCGAACGGGUGAGUAAUACAUCGGAACGUGCCCGAUCGUGGGGGGAUAACGGAGCGAAAGCUUUGCUAAUACCGCAUACGAUCUACGGAUGAAAGCAGGGGACCGCAAGGCCUUGCGCGGACGGAGCGGCCGAUGGCAGAUUAGGUAGUUGGUGGGAUAAAAGCUUACCAAGCCGACGAUCUGUAGCUGGUCUGAGAGGACGACCAGCCACACUGGGACUGAGACACGGCCCAGACUCCUACGGGAGGCAGCAGUGGGGAAUUUUGGACAAUGGGCGAAAGCCUGAUCCAGCCAUGCCGCGUGCAGGAUGAAGGCC
rnacentral:rRNA from 1 species